AUUGAACGCUGGCGGCAUGCCUUACACAUGCAAGUCGAACGGCAGCACGGGAGCAAUCCUGGUGGCGAGUGGCGAACGGGUGAGUAAUAUAUCGGAACGUGCCCAGUCGUGGGGGAUAACGUAGCGAAAGCUACGCUAAUACCGCAUACGAUCUAUGGAUGAAAGCGGGGGAUCGCAAGACCUCGUGCGAUUGGAGCGGCCGAUAUCAGAUUAGGUAGUUGGUGAGGUAAAGGCUCACCAAGCCGACGAUCUGUAGCUGGUCUGAGAGGACGACCAGCCACACUGGGACUGAGACACGGCCCAGACUCCUACGGGAGGCAGCAGUGGGGAAUUUUGGUACAAUGGCGGCAAGCCUGAUCCAGCAAUGCCGCGUGCAGGAUGAAGGCCUUCGGUUGUAAC
rnacentral:rRNA from 1 species